rnacentral:lncRNA from 1 species
ACUUCAGGUGGGGGGCCACCCUCAUGUCCCCUUUCUGCUGAUAGCUGUUCUGUUGCUCAGUAAAAUUCUUCUCUGCCACACUCAGCCUUCAGUUGUCGGAGUAACCUCAUUUUUCUCAGACGCGGGACAAGAACUCGAGAACCAUCAAACAUGGGUACAAGCCGUAAUGCAGGGGGGCUGGGACACACUCUGCCCAGCCAUGGGCUGAGCUGGUUAUAGGUAAUUGGUCUUCUAACUCAGUCCUAAAAAAUUCAAAUACAAUAAUAAAGAGACAGAGAGAGAGGAAGGAAG